rnacentral:rRNA from 1 species
AAAUUGAAGAGUUUGAUCAUGGCUCAGAUUGAACGCUGGCGGCAGGCCUAACACAUGCAAGUCGAGCGGUAGCACAGAGAGCUUGCUCUCGGGUGACGAGCGGCGGACGGGUGAGUAAUGUCUGGAAAACUGCCUGAUGGAGGGGGAUAACUACUGGAAACGGUAGCUAAUACCGCAUAACGUCGCAAGACCAAAGUGGGGGACCUUCGGGCCUCAUGCCAUCAGAUGUGCCCAGAUGGGAUUAGCUAGUAGGUGGGGUAA